GCAGAAGCGCGAUCAGAGGAUGCCCGCUUCAAUCCGUGGACUGGCGCAAAGCGAAAGAAGGCGGGACUAGCGCGCCAAAGUUUGCCUUGCCGAAGGAGCGCCGUGUACGCCGUAGAAAUCGGCAGGAGCAAGAAGAGGCGAAGCAAAAGUUUGCUCAAGAACUGCUUUCGUUUGACCCAGAUAAUGACUUCGCGAAAGCGCUCCUGCUGACCGACGAAGGCGACACCGUGCAGUCCAGGUUUGGGCUGGUGUCCUCAUUGGCGCCACAGAGCUACCAGCAGUCCCUGCUGCCACACGGUUUCACUGUGCUUCUUUCUGGGUUAGAACCAGCAAACGAAGAAAAUCCUUGUGAAAGCAUCCCGACUGUCACUUUCUUCGAAAGCGGCACAGCCUGGAAUCCUCCAGCACACCUUGAGUCAAACAGUGUUAUGCAGGAGAUAUGUGUGACACCGUUGGCAGCUGAAGCACUUGAAAAGGACAGCCGCCAGCAGGCAAAAAGCGCAACAUGGCAGCAGGAACGCCGGCUUCGUGUCACAUCCUCCAAGUUUGGUGCGGUCCUGAAUAGGAAGGAGUGGACUAUUAAGGGCCUGCAGAACCUCACAGCUGCAAGAGACCUUUCUAGAGUUACUGCAGUCAAUUACGGCAUCAAGAUGGAGUCGCUAGCUGCUCAACGCUACGAGGAUGCUCUACGCCGUCUGGGCCAUGCUCCUACAGUUAGCACCUGUGGAUUGCUGGUUAACCCAGCUUUUCCUUGGUUGGGUGCGUCGCCCGACAGGAUUGUGUACGACCCCACAGAACAAUCCUAUGGUGUAGUGGAGAUAAAGUGUCCCUACUCUUUA